UACGUAGGGUGCAAGCGUUAAUCGGAAUUACUGGGCGUAAAGCGUGCGCAGGCGGUUGUGUAAGACAGGUGUGAAAUCCCCCGGGCUUAACCUGGGAACUGCAUUUGUGACUGCAUCGCUGGAGUGCGGCAGAGGGGGAUGGAAUUCCGCGUGUAGCAGUGAAAUGCGUAGAUAUGCGGAGGAACACCGAUGGCGAAGGCAAUCCCCCUGGGCCUGCACUGACGCUCAUGCACGAAAGCGUGGGGAGCAAACAGG
rnacentral:rRNA from 1 species